GCGGUAAUUCCAGCUCCAAUAGCGUAUAUUUAAGUUGUUGCAGUUAAAAAGCUCGUAGUUGGAUUUCGGGUGGGUUUUAGCGGUCCGCCUAUGGUGAGUACUGCUAUGGCCUUCCUUACUGUCGGGGACCUGCUUCUGGGCUUCAUUGUCCGGGACAGGGAUUCGGCAUGGUUACUUUGAGUAAAUUAGAGUGUUCAAAGCAGGCUUACGCCGUGAAUACUUUAGCAUGGAAUAACAUGAUAGGACUCUGCCCUAUUCUGUUGGCCUGUAGGUGUGGAGUAAUGAUUAAGAGGAACAGUCGGGGGCAUUCGUAUUUCAUUGUCAGAGGUGAAAUUCUCGGAUU
rnacentral:rRNA from 1 species